UACAGACUGAUGUAUAGGGCAUAUAAAGUUUUGAUCUUUAAAGUAUUGGUGUAAAUCCAUUGUGUGUAG
rnacentral:tRNA from 2 species